rnacentral:rRNA from 1 species
GAAUUUUCCGCAAUGGGCGAAAGCCUGACGGAGCAACGCCGCGUGAGGGACGAAGGCCUCUGGGCUGUAAACCUCUUUUCUCAAGGAAGAAGACCUGACGGUACUUGAGGAAUAAGCCACGGCUAAUUCCGUGCCAGCAGCCGCGGUAAUACGGGAGUGGCAAGCGUUAUCCGGAAUUAUUGGGCGUAAAGCGUCCGCAGGCGGCCUGGUAAGUCUGUUGUUAAAGCGUGGAGCUCAACUCCAUUUGAGCAAUGGAAACUACAAGGCUUGAGUGUGGUAGGGGCAGAGGGAAUUCCCGGUGUAGCGGUGAAAUGCGUAGAUAUCGGGAAGAACACCAGUGGCGAAGGCGCUCUGCUGGGCCAUAACUGACGCUCAUGGACGAAAGCCAGGGGAGCGAAAGGGAUUAGAUACCCCUGUAGUC